UACGGAGGAUGCGAGCGUUAUCCGGAUUUAUUGGGUUUAAAGGGUGCGUAGGCGGUCCGUUAAGUCAGCGGUAAAAUUGCGGGGCUCAACCCCGUUGAGCCGUUGAAACUGGCAGACUUGAGUUGGCGAGAAGUACGCGGAAUGCGCGGUGUAGCGGUGAAAUGCAUAGAUAUCGCGCAGAACUCCGAUUGCGAAGGCAGCGUACCGGCGCCAGACUGACGCUGAGGCACGAAAGCGUGGGGAUCGAACAGG
rnacentral:rRNA from 1 species